rnacentral:rRNA from 1 species
GAUGAACGCUGGCGGCGUGCUUAACACAUGCAAGUCGAACGAAGCACUUUAGUUGAUUUCUUCGGAUUGAUUCUAAAGUGACUUGGUGGCGGACGGGUGAGUAACGCGUGGGUAACCUGCCUCGUACAGGGGGAUAACAGUUAGAAAUGACUGCUAAUACCGCAUAACCCGCUAAGGUCGCAUGACCUGGACGGAAAAGAUUUAUCGGUACGAGAUGGACCCGCGUCUGAUUAGCUAGUUGGUGAGGUAACGGCCCACCAAGGCGACGAUCAGUAGCCGGCCUGAGAGGGUGACCGGCCACAUUGGGACUGAGACACGGCCCAAACUCCUACGGGAGGCAGCAGUGGGGAAUAUUGCACAAUGGGGGAAACCCUGAUGCAGCGACGCCGCGUGAGUGAAGAAGUAUUUCGGUAUGUAAAGCUCUAUCAGCAGGGAAGAAAAUGACGGUACCUGACUAAGAAGCCCCGGCUAACUACGUG